GCCCGGAUGGCGGAAUUUAUAGACGCGUCAGGUUCAGAUGCUGGUGGUGGCAACACUGUGGAGGUCCGAGUCCUCUUCAGGGCACCA
rnacentral:tRNA from 1 species